CUCCUCAGUAAUUCUGCUGCCUCUAGCAGAUCUUGGCUGGGCUUGGAAGCGAAGCAAGUUCAGGCUUGGUUAGAACAUAGAUGGGAGACCACCUGGGAAUUCCACUUGCUGUAGGAGU
rnacentral:rRNA from 1 species